GACGAACGCUGGCGGCGUGCUUAACACAUGCAAGUCGAACGGAAAGGCCCUGCUUUUGUGGGGUGCUCGAGUGGCGAACGGGUGAGUAACACGUGAGUAACCUGCCCUUGACUUUGGGAUAACUUCAGGAAACUGGGGCUAAUACCGGAUAGGAGCUCCUGCUGCAUGGUGGGGGUUGGAAAGUUUCGGCGGUUGGGGAUGGACUCGCGGCUUAUCAGCUUGUUGGUGGGGUAGUGGCUUACCAAGGCUUUGACGGGUAGCCGGCCUGAGAGGGUGACCGGCCACAAUGGGACUGAGAUACGGCACAGACUCCUACGGGAGGCAGCAGUGGGGAAUAUUGCACAAUGGGCGGAAGCCUGAUGCAGCAACGCCGCGUGCGGGAUGACGGCCUUCGGGUUGUAAACCGCUUUCGCCUGUGACGAAGCGUGAGUGACGGUAAUGGGUAAAGAAGCACCGGCUAACUACGUG
rnacentral:rRNA from 1 species